rnacentral:rRNA from 1 species
UACAGAGGUCUCAAGCGUUGUUCGGAUUCAUUGGGCGUAAAGGGUGCGUAGGCGGCGCGGUAAGUCGGGUGUGAAAUCUUGGAGCUUAACUCCGAAACUGCAUUCGAUACUGCCGUGCUUGAGGACUGGAGAGGAGACUGGAAUUUACGGUGUAGCGGUGAAAUGCGUAGAGAUCGGGAGGAACACCGGUGGCGAAGGCGGGUCUCUGGGCAAUUCCUGACGCUGAGGCGCGAAAGCGUGGGGAGCGAACAGG